CUCUGAUCCAUUCACAACCAGAACUCUUGCCUUGUCAUGAAGCCUCCUCUGUGUCACCAAGUGGUAGUAAGAUAAUGAUGUCUUCUUCGUGGAGAACCAGCUGAUGAAUGAUGAUCCAGCCGCCCAUCUGUCCAGCACAGACAAAGCUAUGGAAUCAGGUUUGACACAAACAGAGUUUCCAGGUAAUCUGCAUAGUCACUGAAGGACAAAAGAUCUGCUUGACUCCUGCUUCCCAGAGACCCCAGAUAAAUGGGAACUUGGGGUGCCCUGGACAAUGGUGGAAGAAAGAAGAGCCAUAGCCUACUGAGUACACUUCAUAGAUACAGAGUACACAACAUUGUGUGGGUGGCAAGGAAGACUGGGAU